rnacentral:rRNA from 1 species
CCUACGGGAGGCAGCAGUGAGGAAUAUUGGUCAAUGGACGGGAGUCUGAACCAGCCAAGUAGCGUGAAGGAUGACUGCCCUAUGGGUUGUAAACUUCUUUUAUAAAGGAAUAAAACGAGCCACGUGUGCCUUUUUGCAUGUUAUUUAUGAAUAAUGCUCGGCUAACUCCGUGCCAGCAGCCGCGGUAAUACGGAGGAUCCGAGCGUUAUCCGGAUUUCUUGGGUUUAAAGGGAGCGUAGAUGGGUUGUUAAGUCAGUUGUGAAAGUUUGCGGCUCAACCGUAAAAUUGCAAUUGAUACUGGCAGUCUUGAGUGAAGUUGAGGUAAGCGGAAUGCGUGGUGUAGCGGUGAAAUGCAUAGAUAUCACGCAGAACCCCGAUUGCGAAGGCAGCUUACUAACCUGUGACUGACAUUGAUGCACGAAAGUGUGGGUAUCAAACAGGAUUAGAUACCCGGGUAGUC